CCUCAAAUCAGGUAGGACUACCCGCUGAACUUAAGCAUAUCAAUAAGCGGAGGAAAAGAAACUAACAAGGAUUCCCCUAGUAACGGCGAGUGAAGCGGGAAGAGCUCAAAUUUGAAAUCUGGUGGCCUCAGGCUAUCCGAGUUGUAAUCUAUAGAAACAUUUUCCGCGUUGGCCCAUGUACAAGUCUCUUGGAAUAGAGCGUCAUAGAGGGUGAGAAUCCCGUCCUUGACAUGGACUACCAGUGCUUUGUGAUAUGUUUUCAACGAGUCGAGUUGUUUGGGAAUGCAGCUCAAAAUGGGUGGUAAAUUCCGUCUAAAGCUAAAUAUUGGCGAGAGACCGAUAGCGAACAAGUACCGUGAGGGAAAGAUGAAAAGCACUUUGGAAAGAGAGUUAAACAGUAUGUGAAAUUGUUGAAAGGGAAACGAUUGAAGUCAGUCGUGUCUAUUGGACCCAGCCGGUUCUGCCGGUGUACUUCCUUUAGAUGGGGUCAACAUCAGUUUUGAUCGCUGGAAAAGGGCAGGAGGAAUGUAGCACUCUCGGGGUAACUUAUGCCUUCUGUUGCAUACAGUGGUUGGGACUGAGGAACGACGU
rnacentral:rRNA from 1 species